rnacentral:rRNA from 1 species
AGAGUUUGAUUAUGGCUCAGGAUGAACGCUAGCGGCAGGCUUAACACAUGCAAGUCGGGCGGCAGCGGGGUGGGAGCUUGCUCCCACUGCCGGCGAGCGGCGCACGGGUGAGUAACACGUAUGCAACCUGCCCCUGUCAGGGGGACAACCCGCCGAAAGGCGGGCUAAGCCCGCGUAUAUCGCCCCGGGGCAUCCCGGGGGGAGGAAAGGAGCGAUCCGGACAGGGAUGGGCAUGCGGCGCAUUAGCUGGUCGGCGGGGUAACGGCUCACCGAGGCGACGAUGCGUAGGGGUUCUGAGAGGAAGGCCCCCCACACUGGUACUGAGACACGGACCAGACUCCUACGGGAGGCAGCAGUGAGGAAUAUCCCUCAAUGGGCGGGAGCCUGAACCAGCCAAGCCGCGUGAGGGAAGAAGGUACAGCGUAUCGUAAACCUCUUUUGUCAAGGAACAAAGGCGGGGACUAGUCCCCGGAUGAGGGUACCUGAAGAAAAAGCAUCGGCUAACUCCGUG